UGACCGGAUGACAGAUUACCUAGCUGCAUAUCCAUUUUAAUUGAGCUUGGGAGAAAAUAUUUUCGGGUGAUUACAAGAUGAUAAGUUGCGGAACGAAAUCGUGAAACUAUAAACGUCAGGCGGCUAUCAUGACUUAUCAUAUCGCAAUGUUAUGUUCUGCGAGAGGGUCGUUUAAAAUUCCAAGAUUCCGAUGCUUUUGUAUAGGUAACAUUAACUAUUUGCGUUACGGAAGCACGUAAUAUUGCAUCAGCAACGAUUAUACUGCGCAUAUAAUGCAACGAACAAUUCGUUGUUACUCAUUCUGCAUUGCUGCGCACGCAACUAUUGCAUAUAUUGUUCUUUCCGUCUAUUCGUUUUGU